rnacentral:rRNA from 1 species
GACGAACGCUGGCGGCGUGCCUAAUACAUGCAAGUCGAACACAGUGGGGACGGGUGAGUAACACGUGGGUAACCUCCCAUCAGAGGGGAUAACACUUGGAAACAGGUGCAAAACCGAUAAUGAUGGAUGGACCCGCGGUGCAUUAGCUAGUUGGAGAGGUAACGGCUCACCAAGGCCACGAUGCAUAGCCGGCCGGAGAGGAUGACCAGCCACACUGGGACUGAGACACGGCCCAGACUCCUACGGGAGGCAGCAGUGGGGAAUCUUGGGCAAUGGGCGAAAGCCUGACGCAGCCAUGCCGCGUGUAUGAAGAAGGUUUUCGGGUCGUAAAGCUCUUUUGGUGAGGAGGCGUUACUUGCCGAAGAAGCACCGGCUAACUCCGUGCCAGCAGCCGCGGUAAUUC